rnacentral:tRNA from 1 species
GCCUGGGUGGCUCAGUAGGUUGGGCGUCUGACUUCAGAUCAGGUCAUGAUCUCACAGCUUGUGAGUUCGAGCCCCACUGGGCU